UAUGUUGCUGUGCAGAUUUGAGGAAGUGGAGUUUCUGGCAGAGACCUCCUGCUCCUAUUUCCUCCCCAGCCUUGUAGAGGGCUUCCGUACGGUAAAGAAGGAGAGAGAAUGACAAGGAAGGAACAAUCUCCAGCCACGCCAGCCAGGUGACACCAAAGUACAUCCAGAAAACACCCUCCACCUCAUCUACAUUGUGCUUAGGAAUGUCAUCCUUGUUAUCCUGCUCUCCAGGGUUCUCCAAACAAUGGCUCAUGUUACCCCAGCAGCUGCAAUGAACUAAAGGCAGCCACCUUUCCCAGGAGCUGAACUUCUUUUUAAAAGAGAAAUCUCAUCUGUGCAGUUGUCCCCAGCAUGACAAAUGGAAAGUGCACUUUCUGCUUAAAUAGUGAGCAGGAGAGCAAGCUGCGGGAAAGGUUAAGUGAAACACCAGACUCCAUGCACUGACCGUCAAUGUCUUAAACUGCUCCAUUCUGUUGGUGUAAGCCCUCAAGACCUGAACACCCCCUGAAGUUUGAGAGGUUCUUUGAAUGGAACUCAUGCAGGAUCCAGGUCAACAUGCCAGUCCAUGCCAAUCCUGCUCCUAGUUUAGCCCUUAUGGAAAACCAGCAGUACUGUCAUUUAUAACUUCUCCACCAGAGGGAGGAUGAUGGCUUCAAAUGUACAGGAUGAAAUCCCUGUCCCACUGUUAUCAAAGACAAAACUCCCACUGAUGUCACCGGGGCCAGGAUUUCACCCACUAUAUAUAAGAACAUUACAAAAAAUGCAUCCACUAUUCAAGCUUGCAUCCAGUACCAUCUGAGCAAGGCUUCAUUGGCCACAUGGGGCCAGAUUCUGAUCUCUUCUACACAAGCGUCAAAAUGAAGUAACACCCAUGUAAAUGAGAUCAGAUCUGGCACAUAGAGUUCAGAUUUCAAACACAGACAGGAGAAAGUACUUGGCAUCUCUGUGGACAGCUCAGUGACAUCAUCUUCUCAAUACACAGUGAAGGGCAACAAACAAGAUGAUGUUGAGCGUUAUUAAGAAAGAGAGGCUUUGUUUCUGUCAAGAUCUGUUUCAUUGCAUGCCUACAGGUCUGUAUUAUUGCUAGGAGAGCCUGGUCCAGUGGAAAAGAGAUUCAGGAAUCCUGGGCUGCCCAGUGACUUGCUCUGUCACCUUGGACAAUUUACUUCACCACUCUGUUCCUCCUCCCACCCUUUGUCUUAUCUAUAUGAAUGGUAAAUCUCUUACUAUGCAUGCGUGCAAGUGCCUAGCACAGUGGAGUCCUGAUUUUGGUUUACAGGUGCUGCUAGUACAACUAAAUAAAAAUAGUUUAAAAUCACUAGAGACAUUUUUAAAUGAAAGGAAUAGUGCAUUACACUGAAAGCAUUAAAUUGCCAUGGUAUAAAUCAAUGGCACAUGCUGGUCUUGACUGUGUCCAGUUUUGCUUUACUCAUCUCAUAAAGCAGUGGUUCUGAACCAGGGGUACGCAGAG